GCUUUACCUCGUUGUUGAGCAGCAGGACAGCACCCCAAGGUUCAGCAAAAAGGGGACUGCAGAAGCAGCCACAAACGGAGGAGGCGGGAGAAACCCACAAACACAGAAUGCACAACUACUUCCAAAGAGACAGAGGUAACCUGAAAGACACUGCUUCCCACUGAAGUGGAAGUAUUAACUAUAAAGGAUUGAAUCCACACUGCAAAAGGAGACAAUGUACAGUUUACUGCACAGUUAGGAUGUGUAGGCGUGUAUAAACAUAUAAUUUCUACAAAUGAGGUAUGACUUAGUUUUGGCAUUAAC
rnacentral:lncRNA from 1 species